rnacentral:lncRNA from 1 species
CCCGGCCUUCGAAGUAUGGUUCUGAAGAAUCAGAGUCUCGACCUUCCAAACCGCGCCCCUCGAAGUACGAUGAAGAAGAGUAUGAACGCCCUCAAAAACCUCGACCUUCGAAAUAUGAAGAGGAAGAAGAAUAUGGACGGCCACAGAGGCCGCGACCCUCUAAGUACGAAGAAGAGGAGGAAUAUGGACGCCCUCAGAAGCCUCGACCCUCAAAGUACGAAGAAGAAGAGGAAUAUGGACGCCCUCAGAAACCUCGACCCUCAAAGUACGAAGAAGAGGAGGAAUAUGGACGCCCUCAGAAACCUCGACCCUCAAAGUACGAAGAAGAGGAGGAAUAUGGACGCCCUCAGAAACCUCGACCCUCAAAGUACGAAGAAGAGGAAGAAUAUGGGCGCCCUCAAAAACCUCGUCCCUCAAUGCACGAAGAAGAGGAAUAUGGACGCCCUCAGAAGCCUCGACCCUCGAAGUAUGAAGAAGAAGAGUAUGAACGGCCACAGAAGCCUCGUCCCUCCAAAUACGAAGAAGAGACAACAGGGCCAUAUCGAGACCAUUCUUCAAAAUUCGAAGGUGCUUAUGGAUCUUACAAAAGUGCAGCUGCUUUAUUGCUAAUUGUGCAUUAUCGUUCAGUAUCAUUAUAUUGACUCUUUUUUACUCUUCCUUUAUAUCCCUUGUGGUUGAUGCUUCGCUGACGUCAGUUUUUCAAGUGAAUACGUCUUUCGAAGGGUGCAAUUGUACCAUGCUUAACAGCUAGUUUAGAUGCGUUUAGAGUGUUUUAGUGGUUGGCUUCAAGUCGGUCUUAC